rnacentral:rRNA from 1 species
CCUACGGGUGGCAGCAGUGGGGAAUAUUGCGCAAUGGGCGAAAGUCUGACGCAGCGACGCCGCGUGAGGGAUGAAGGUCUUCGGAUCGUAAACCUCUGUCAGCAGGGAAGAAAGGUCACUGUGCUAAUCAGCAGUGAAUUGACGGUACCUGCAAGGGAAGCACCGGCUAACUCCGUGCCAGCCGCCGCGGUAAUACGGCGGGUGCGAGUGUUAAUCGGAAUGACUGGGCGUAAAGCGCGCGUAGGCGGUAUGUCAAGUCAAGGGUGAAAUCCCCGCGCUCAACGUGGGAACUGCCUUUGAAACUGGCAAACUGGAGUGUGUGAGAGGAUAGUGGAAUUCCAGGUGUAGGAGUGAAAUCCGUAGAUAUCUGGAGGAACAUCAGUGGCGAAGGCGACUAUCUGGCACAUAACUGACGCUGAGGAGCGAAAGCGUGGGUAGCAAACAGGAUUAGAUACCCGGGUAGUC